UACGUAGGGUGCGAGCGUUAAUCGGAAUUACUGGGCGUAAAGCGUGCGCAGGCGGUGAUGUAAGACCGAUGUGAAAUCCCCGGGCUUAACCUGGGAACUGCAUUGGUGACUGCAUUGCUAGAGUAUGGCAGAGGGGGGUGGAAUUCCACGUGUAGCAGUGAAAUGCGUAGAGAUGUGGAGGAACACCGAUGGCGAAGGCAGCCCCCUGGGCCAAUACUGACGCUCAUGCACGAAAGCGUGGGGACAAACG
rnacentral:rRNA from 1 species